rnacentral:rRNA from 1 species
UGAAAGACCGGUACAAGCGAGGUAGGAGAAGAGUUGGCAAAUCCGCUCUUUAAUCUGAAGACGUGAUGUGGACUGAAAAUAAGUAGGGAAGCACGUGAGCUGACUGUCAAGAAAAGCCGCUAUUGUUUGCAGGAUACCCGUACCGUAAACCGACACAGGUGGAUGAGGAGAGAAUCCUAAGGCCGACGGGAGAAGCAUUGUUAAGGAACUCGGCAAAAUGACUCCGUAACUUCGGGAGAAGGAGUGCCAGUAAGAUGGCCGCAGAGAAUUGGCCCAAGCAACUGUUUAGCAAAAACACAGGUCUAUGCAAAACCGAAAGGUGAGGUAUAUGGGCUGACGCCUGCCCGGUGCUGGAAGGUUAAGGGGAGAGGUUAGCGCAAGCGAAGCUUUGAACUUAAGCCCCAGUAAACGGCGGCCGUAACCAUAACGGUCCUAAGGUAGCGAGAUUCCUUGUCGGGUAAGUUCCGACCCGCACGAAAGGCGUAAUGAUUUGGGCACUGUCUCAACAAUGCACCCGGUGAAAUUGAAAUACCAGUGAAGAUGCUGGUUACCUGCGCCAGGACGGAAAGACCCCAUGGAGCUUUACUCCAGCUUGAUACUGGGAUUCGGUAUUGCAUGUACAGGAUAGGUGGGAGGCUAGGAAAUGGUAACGCCAGUUGCCAUGGAGCCAAUGUUGGGAUACCACCCUUGCAGUACUGGGUUUCUAACCAGCAGCCGUGAUCCGGCUGGGGGACAAUGUCAGGUGGGGAGUUUGACUGGGGCGGUCGCCUCCGAAAGGGUAUCGGAGGCGCUCAAAGGUUCCCUCAGAAUGGUUGGAAACCAUUCGAAGAGUGCAAAGGCAGAAGGGAGCUUGACUGCGACACCGACGGGUGGAGCAGGUACGAAAGUAGGACUUAGUGAUCCGGUGGUAUAAAGUGGGAUUGCCAUCGCUCAACGGAUAAAAGCUACCCUGGGAUAACAGCUUAUCACUCCCAAGAGUUCACAUCGACGGAGUGGUUUGGCACCUCGAUGUCGGCUCAUCGCAUCCUGGGGCUGAAGUAGGUCCCAAGGGUCGGGCUGUUCGCCCAUUAAAGCGGUACCCGAGCUGGGUUCAGAACGUCGUGAGACAGUUCGGUCCCUAUCCGGCGUGGGCGUAAGAUAUUUGAGAGGAGCUGUCCUUAGUACGAGAGGACCGGGACGGACUGGCCGCUGGUGUAUCUGUUGUCUUACCAAAGGCAUAGCAGAGUAGCCAAGCCGGGAAGGGAUAAACGCUGAAGGCAUCUAAGCGUGAAGCCCCCCUCAAGAUGAGAUAUCUCAUAACGUCAAGUUAGUAAGACCCCCUUGAAGACGACGAGGUAGAUAGGGCAGAGGUGGAAGUGUGGCAACACAUGGAGCUGACUGUUACUAAUAGGUCGAGGGCAUAACCU